CUCGUCCCACCCUCGCCGCGGGAAUCCCGCGGAAGGAGGAGCCCGGCGGGAGAUGGGUCUGGCCGCUGCAGCUGUGUCCAGGGUCUGACACCCAUCACUGAGAGGGGAUACGGCUGGCAGGGGACGCGGCUUGGGACGCGGCUUGCAGGGGACGCGUGCGCGGCACGCCCUGUGCUAUGCGGGAACACGGUCGAGGAUGGCAGGAGCGUCUGCUUCACAUCAUUCCCCUCUGGAGCCCUGCACCGGUGUCUGCUGAUGCCCAGGCUUACGAGUAAAAAGCGACCCUUUCCUCCUAUUUUUCUUACUGAAAGGAGAAAGAGAGACGUUGUGAUGGGAGCCAGCUUCAGCUAAGGUCUCAGUGUUAAGAGGUUUUGAUCCUGCUAGGACCUUUGGUUAUAUUUCCGUGCACACCACCACAGCACUAACCAGCACUUCAGCUUUCUCUGGAAACUUAGAGCUCUUUGGAAGCCAAGCAUUCCACAAUGAAGAGCUUUCUGGCUUUCCUUGUUGCAACUGGCAGCAUAGUGACUCUGGCUGAUGCAUACUGCUUUGCUCUACUUCAAAAUCCAGGGAGGCCUUACAAUGGCUGUAUGUUGAAUGGAAAAGUGUAUCCCUUUGGACACAUUGAGAGGACAGAAGAUUGCUUCAGAUGCAGGUGCAGCGAAGGUUCAAUGGAAUGCUGUUCCCUCUUUCAUACUCCUGUUGGUUUCGAUAAACAGAACUGUAAAGUCAUUUUCAACAAAAAGCACUGUGACUAUGACGUGGUGCAGAAGGAUGACCCCUCAAAGGAGUGUUUUGUCUAGUCUCGUGUGGGCUAACACCUGCUCCAAGCCUCUCUGCGCUAUGGAAUUCCUCUCCUUCCUACAGAUGCUUUGCCAUCACAGAGAAGCACGAUGGCAUGGGAAAAAUCUCGUAAAAGAGAGCACUUCAGUGGCUUGCUUCUAAUCUCUUAA